AUUGAACGCUGGCGGCAGGCCUAACACAUGCAAGUCGAACGAGUGGCGGACGGGUGAGUAAUGUCUGGGAAACUGCCUGAUGGAGGGGGAUAACUACUGGAAACGGUAGCUAAUACCGCAUACCAUCGGAUGUGCCCAGAUGGGAUUAGCUAGUAGGUGGGGUAACGGCUCACCUAGGCGACGAUCCCUAGCUGGUCUGAGAGGAUGACCAGCCAAACUGGAACUGGGACACGGUCCAGACUCCUACGGGGGGCAACAUGGGGGAAGAUUGCACAAUGGGCGCAAGCCUGAUGCAGCCAUGCCGCGUGUAUGAAGAAGGCCUUCGGGUUGUAAAGUACUUUCAGCGGGGAGGCGUUACCCGCAGAAGAAGCACCGGCUAACUCCGGGCCAGCAGCCGCGGUAAUUC
rnacentral:rRNA from 1 species